UUCCUGUCCACGUCGCUAUUUCAUACUUGAGGAGAAAUUAUCCUUGGUGUGUUCGCUUUAUUUGGGAUGAAUCAUACAAGGACAAUUUCUUUCUGAGUAUCAAAUCCUGCCUCAGCGGACUUGCU
rnacentral:precursor_RNA from 8 species